GGGGAUUUAGCUCAGUGGCAUAAGCACCUGCCUUGCAAGCAGGUGGUCGUGAAGCAGGCGGUUGUGAGUUCGAUCCCCG
rfam:Cavia porcellus supercont2_59 genomic scaffold, whole genome shotgun sequence.